AUGCCUUAAACUAAUGAGUAAGGAAAAUAACUACUCUGCGGGAACGUAGAGGUACGGCAACCCUUCGGGGUGUCAAUCUAUUUUUCUGGGUACAGGUUGUCCUCAGGAGCUCCUACCUACUUUGUAGGAGCACCUGAGUGAUAAAUCUGCCUG